CGCUGCUAUACAUGCAAGUCGAGCGCAGGAAGCAAGUUGAUUCCCUUCGGGGAUGAAACUUGUGGAAUGAGCGGCGGACGGGUGAGUAACACGUGGGCAACCUACCUGUAAGAUCGGAAUAACCCCGGGAAACCGGGGCUAAUGCCGGGUAACACUUUCUCUCGCAUGAGGGGAAGUUAAAAGAUGGCUUCUUGCUAUCACUUACAGAUGGGCCCGCGGCGCAUUAGCUAGUUGGUGAGGUAAUAGCUCACCAAGGCGACGAUGCGUAGCCGACCUGAGAGGGUGAUCGGCCACACUGGGACUGAGACACGGCCCAGACUCCUACGGGAGGCAGCAGUAGGGAAUCUUCCGCAAUGGACGAAAGUCUGACGGAGCAACGCCGCGUGAACGAUGAAGGUCUUCGGAUCGUAAAGUUCUGUUGUUAGGGAAGAACAAGUACCGUGCGAAUAGAACGGUACCUUGACGGUACUUAACGAGGAAGCCCCGGCUAACUACGUGCCAGCAGCCGCGGUAAUACGUAGGGGGCAAGCGUUGUCCGGAAUUAUUGGGCGUAAAGCGCGCGCAGGCGGUUCUUUAAGUCUGAUGUGAAAUCCCACGGCUCAACCGUGGAGGUGCAUUGGAAACUGGGGAACUUGAGGACAGAAGAGGAGAGUGGAAUUCCACGUGUAGCGGUGAAAUGCGUAGAUAUGUGGAGGAACACCAGUGGCGAAGGCGACUCUCUGGUCUGUCUCUGACGCUGAGGUGCGAAAGCGUGGGUAGCAAACAGGAUUAGAUACCCUGGUAGUCCACGCUGUAACGAUGAGUGCUAGGUGUUAGGGGCUUCCACCCCUUAGUGCUGAAGUUAACGCAUUAAGCACUCCGCCUGGGGGAGUACGGCCGCAGGCUGAACUCAAGGAGUGACGGGGCCCGCACAGCGUGAGCAUGUGUUUAUCGAGCACGCGAGA
rnacentral:rRNA from 1 species